rnacentral:misc_RNA from 1 species
CGCACAUUGCGCCCCUUGGUAUUCCGGGGGGUAUGCCCGUUCGAGCGUCAUUUCACCACACAAGCCUGGCUUGGUAUUGGGCCACGGGGGCGACCCGGGCCUGAAAGUCGUCGGCCGGACCGCCUGAAUCUCAGCGUCGUGAAUCAAAUUCGCUGGCGAGUCGGGGGGUGCGCGCCGGAAAACAUCUUCUUUAGGUUGACCUCGGAUCGGGUAGGGAUACCCGCUGAACUUAA